UACGUAGGGUGCGAGCGUUGUCCGGAAUUAUUGGGCGUAAAGGGCUCGUAGGCGGUUUGUCGCGUCGGGAGUGAAAACCUUGGGCUUAACUCAGGGCUUGCUUUCGAUACGGGCAGACUAGAGGUAUGCAGGGGAGAACGGAAUUCCUGGUGUAGCGGUGAAAUGCGCAGAUAUCAGGAGGAACACCGGUGGCGAAGGCGGCCUGCUGGGCAGUUGCUGACACUGAGGCGCGACAGCGUGGGGAG
rnacentral:rRNA from 1 species